rnacentral:rRNA from 1 species
CGGGGGAUAUUGCACAAUGGGCGAAAGCCUGAUGCAGCGACGCCGCGUGGGGGAUGAAGGCCUUCGGGUUGUAAACUUCUUUUGCUCUGAACAAGGCGCACCAUGGGGUGUGUUGAGUGUAGGGGUUGAUUAGCGCCGGCUAACUACGUGCCAGCAGCCGCGGUAAUACGUAGGGCGCGAGCGUUGUCCGGAAUUAUUGGGCGUAAAGGGCUUGUAGGUGGCUGGUUGCGUCUGUCGUGAAAGCUCAUGGCUUAACUGUGGGUUUGCGGUGGGUACGGGCUGGCUUGAGUGCAGUAGGGGAGGCUGGAAUUCCUGGUGUAGCGGUGGAAUGCGCAGAUAUCAGGAGGAAUACCGGUGGCGAAGGCGGGUCUCUGGGCUGUUACUGACACUGAGGAGCGAAAGCAUGGGGAGCGAACAGG